GCUGGGCAUAGUGGUGCAUGCCUGUAAUCCUAGCGGCUCAGGAAGCUGAGACAGGAAGAUCAUGAAUUCAAAGCUAGCCUCAGCAAAAGCAAAGGCACUAAGCAACUCAGUGAGACCCUGUCUCUA
rnacentral:sRNA from 1 species